rnacentral:rRNA from 1 species
AGAGUUUGAUCAUGGCUCAAAUUGAACGCUGGCGGUAGGCUUAACACAUGCAAGUCGUGCGAGAAAGUAUCUUCGGAUAUGAGUAGAGCGGCGGACGGGUGAGUAACGCGUAGGAAUCUACCUAGUAGAAGGGGAUAGCCCGGGGAAACCCGGAUUAAUACCGUAUACCUCCUUCGGGAGAAAGAAGGCCUCUCUUUGAAGCUUUCGCUACUAGAUGAGCCUGCGUAAGAUUAGCUUGUUGGUGAGGUAAAGGCUCACCAAGGCUACGAUCUUUACUGGUCUGAGAGGACCAUCUGCCACUUUGGGACUG